rnacentral:rRNA from 1 species
AUACGUAGGGGGCAAGCGUUGUCCGGAUUUAUUGGGCGUAAAGAGCUCGUAGGCGGCUUGUCGCGUCGGUUGUGAAAGCCCGGGGCUUAACCCCGGGUCUGCAUUCGAUACGGGCAGGCUUGAGUGUGGUAGGGGAGAUCGGAAUUCCUGGUGUAGCGGUGAAAUGCGCAGAUAUCAGGAGGAACACCGGUGGCGAAGGCGGAUCUCUGGGCCAUUACUGACGCUGAGGAGCGAAAGCGUGGGGAGCGAACAG